rnacentral:rRNA from 1 species
AUUGAACGCUGGCGGCAGGCCUAACACAUGCAAGUCGAGCGGAGCGGCGGACGGGUGAGUAAUGCCUAGGAAUCUGCCUGGUAGUGGGGGAUAACGUCCGGAAACGGGCGCUAAUACCGCAUACUCUCAGAUGAGCAUAGGUCGGAUUAGCUAGUUGGUGGGGUAAAGGCCUACCAAGGCGACGAUCCGUAACUGGUCUGAGAGGAUGAUCAGUCACACUGGAACUGAUCCACGGUCCAGACUCCUACGGGAGGCAGCAGUGGGGGAUAUUGCACGAUGGGCGGAAGCCUGAUGCAGCGACGCCGCAUGGUGGAUGAAGGCUUUCGGAUUAUAAACCUCUUUCGCUAUCGAACGGGUAGGUGCAGAAUAAGCGCCGGCUAACUACGUGCCAGCAGCCGCGGUAAUAC